GCUGUGGAUGAGGCUUUGGCUUAAGGGAAUAUUGUGGCUGGUUUGAUCCUCUGUCCAGACUGCUCAAAUUGUCUCCAUAUC
rnacentral:pre_miRNA from 1 species